GACGAACGCUGGCGGCGUGCUUAACACAUGCAAGUCGAACGGAAAGGCCUGCUUUCCCUUGUGGAUUGCGGGUACUCGAGUGGCGAACGGGUGAGUAACACGUGAGUGAUCUGCCCCCAACUUGGGUAUAAGCCUGGGAAACUGGGUCUAAUUCCCGAUAGGACUGCAGGGUGGUGCCUGUGGUGGAAAACGAUUUUCUAGUGGUUGGGGAUGAGCUCGCGGCCUAUCAGCUUGUUGGUGGGGUAAUGGCCUACCAAGGCGGCGACGGGUAGCCGGCCUGAGAGGGUGGACGGCCACAUUGGGACUGAGAGACGGCCCAGACUCCGACGGGAGGCAGCAGUGGGGAAUAUUGCACAAUGGGCGGAAGCCCGAUGCAGCGACGCCGCGUGGGGGAUGACGGCCUUCGGGUGGUAAACUCCUUUCGACCGCGAGGAAGCCACCUGGUUGGAAGGGUGGUGACGGUAGUGGUAGAAGAAGCACCGGCUAACUACGUG
rnacentral:rRNA from 1 species